UUGUUUUUAGCUUUCAGAUGUUUCCAGAGUUUCUCAGGUGCACGGGGUGACAGGUGCGACUGAUCUGCUGAUUGCCUUGAGGAGUAUUUAAGCAGGAGGCUGCCAGUACUUCGAUGCCAGAGUGUUUGCCUUCAGUGGCUGAAACCUGAACCUUGUUUAUCUUCGUUGAGCUUUGUCUUUGGCUCCAGUGAUUUCCUGGACGCUCAAGUUUACCUACGUUUUGUGGAUUACGUUCUGGAUUUUGUGUUUUGGAUUAAGCUGGCAGCUCCCUGGAAAUUCCCGACUCCUGAACCAAGGCAGAGGCGUACCCUGUCCACCCUCCAACGCAAGUACCUGAACAUUCAACUCUCUCAUGAACUCACCAGUAUUCACUUCCCAGCUCGUACUGAAGCAUCUGGACACCCAAGUUCUGACUCCCUCUACCCCUGGCGACCUGACGGCAUUUACUUAUUGGCGAAUUUACCCAUUCAUGUCCCUGUGUUCACCUACUGUAAAUAAACACUGUUACACUUUCAGCUUGUUUCCUCUGAGUGUUCUCUGUAUGUGGGUCCAUGCUAUAUCGAAAAUGUCACUCAGUUUGCUUUAGUUAAUGACUAUUCUAGGUUCUUAUGUUUCUUAUGGUUUAUUAUCUUCAUCCAUAGUUUUGCUUGAUCUGUUUUCCCUGAGUUUUGUUAUUUAUAGUUUUGUUUUUGUAGUCAGGUUCCUUUGGUUAUGUUACUGUCUAGCUUCCCUCAUGUUUUCCCCUUUGGAUUUAUGUUAUGGUUUAGCUCUCGUGUUUCGUUUUGUUUCUAGCCUUGUCACCUUAGCAACUAUUCACUUUCCCUCAGUUCUCUACAGCCUGGUCCACACCUGAAUUUAAUCUCCCCUGAUUUCCUAUCUCUCAUUCUCAUUGGUCCAUACUCCACUUCCCUCUGUUCAUAAGCUCUCUGUUCUUGUUUGUUCCUCGCUGGUUCCUUCCGUUCGAAUCCCCGUUCAUAUCUCCGUUCACCUACCUUCGUCUAUGUACUUUGCCUACUAUGUUCCUGCAGUAUCAACUUUGUAAGUUUUUGGAUUUCUUGUAUCCGCAGUGAUUUUACUACGUUCUUGCUACGUUGGAGAACCUUUGGAUUAUUCUUUAAAUAAAGUAAGAAUACUCCUUUAAACAUG